UUGCAUAUCAAUAAGCGGAGGAAAAGAAACCAACAGGGAUUGCCUCAGUAACGGCGAGUGAAGCGGCAAAAGCUCAAAUUUGAAAUCUGGCUCUUUCAGGGUCCGAGUUGUAAUUUGUAGAAGAUGCUUUGGGUGUGGCUCCGGUUUAAGUUCUUUGGAAUAUUACAUCACAGAGGGUGAGAAUCCCGUAUGUGACCGGUUGCCUCGCUCGUGUAAAGCUCUUUCAACGAGUCGAGUUGUUUGGGAAUGCAGCUCUAAAUGGGUGGUAUAUUUCAUCUAAAGCUAAAUACUGGCCAGAGACCGAUAGCGCACAAGUAGAGUGAUCGAAAGGUGAAAAGAACUUUGAAAAGAGAGUUAAACAGUACGUGAAAUUGUUGAAGGGGAAGCGCUUGCAACCAGACUUGGACUUAGUUGAUCAACCGGUGUUCUCACCGGUGCACUCUGCUAUGUACAGGCCAGCAUCGGUUUUGGUGGUUGGAUAAAGGCCGUGGGAAUGUGGCUCCUCUCGGGGAGUGUUAUAGCCCAACGGUGCAAUGCAGCCUAUCCGGGACCGAGGACCCGCGCUUCGGCUAGAUG
rnacentral:rRNA from 1 species